AGACUCCUACGGGAGGCAGCAGUGGGGAAUAUUGGACAAUGGGCGCAAGCCUGAUCCAGCAAUGCCGCGUGAGUGAUGAAGGCCUUCGGGUCGUAAAGCUCUUUUACCAGGGAUGAUAAUGACAGUACCUGGAGAAUAAGCUCCGGCUAACUCCGUGCCAGCAGCCGCGGUAAUACGGAGGGAGCUAGCGUUGUUCGGAAUUACUGGGCGUAAAGCGCGCGUAGGCGGCGACACAAGUCAGAGGUGAAAGCCCGGGGCUCAACCCCGGAACUGCCUUUGAAACUAGGUUGCUAGAAUCUUGGAGAGGUCAGUGGAAUUCCGAGUGUAGAGGUGAAAUUCGUAGAUAUUCGGAAGAACACCAGUGGCGAAGGCGACUGACUGGACAAGUAUUGACGCUGAGGUGCGAAAGCGUGGGAGCAAACAGGAUUAGAUACCCUGGUAGUCCACGCCGUAAACGAUGAUAACUAGCUGUCCGGGCACAUGGUGUUUGGGUGGCGCAGCUAACGCAUUAAGUUAUCCGCCUGGGGAGUACGGUCGCAAGAUUAAAACUCAAAGGAAUUGACGGGGGCCUGCACAAGCGGUGGAGCAUGUGGUUUAAUUCGAAGCAACGCGCAGAACCUUACCAGCGUUUGACAUCCCGCGCUAUUACCAGAGAUGGUAAGUUCCCUUCGGGGACGCGGUGACAGGUGCUGCAUGGCUGUUGUCAGCUCGUGUCGUGAGAUGUUGGGUUAAGUCCCGCAACGAGCGCAAACCUUCGUCCUUAGUUGCCAUCAUUCAGUUGGGCACUCUAAGGAAACCGCCGGUGAUAAGCCGGAGGAAGGUGGGGAUGACGUCAAGUCCUCAUGGCCCUUACACGCUGGGCUACACACGUGCUACAAUGGCGGUGACAGUGGGCAGCAAGCACGCGAGUGUGAGCUAAUCUCCAAAAGCCGUCUCAGUUCGGAUUGUUCUCUGCAACUCGAGAGCAUGAAGGCGGAAUCGCUAGUAAUCGCGGAUCAGCAUGCCGCGGUGAAUACGUUCCCAGGCCUUGUACACACCGCCCGU
rnacentral:rRNA from 1 species